GACGAACGCUGGCGGCGUGCUUAACACAUGCAAGUCGAACGGAAAGGCCCUGCUCUUGCGGGGUGCUCGAGUGGCGAACGGGUGAGUAACACGUGAGUAACAUGCCCUUGACUUUGGGAUAACUUCAGGAAACUGGGGCUAAUACCGGAUAGGAGCUCCUGAUGCGUGGUGUGGGAUGGAAAGUUUCGGCGGUUGGGGAUGGACUCGCGGCUUAUCCGCUUGUUGGGGGGGUAGUGGCUUACCAAGGCUUUGAAGGAUAGGCGGCCUGAGAGGGUGACCGGCCACAUUGGGACUGAGAGACGGCCCAGACUCCUACGGGAGGCAGCAGUGGGGAAUAUUGCGCAGUGGGCGGAAGCCUGAUACAGCGACGCCGCGUGCGGGAUGACGGCCUUCUGGUUGUAAACCGCUUUCGCCUGAGACGAGGCGUGAGUGACGGUAAUGGGUAAAGAAGCACCGGCUAACUACGUG
rnacentral:rRNA from 1 species